GAUGAACGCUGGCGGCGUGCCUAAUACAUGCAAGUCGAGCGAACAGACGAGGAGCUUGCUCCUCUGACGUUAGCGGCGGACGGGUGAGUAACACGUGGAUAACCUACCUAUAAGACUGGGAUAACUUCGGGAAACCGGAGCUAAUACCGGAUAAUAUAUUGAACCGCAUGGUUCAAUAGUGAAAGACGGUUUUGCUGUCACUUAUAGAUGGAUCCGCGCCGCAUUAGCUAGUUGGUAAGGUAACGGCUUACCAAGGCAACGAUGCGUAGCCGACCUGAGAGGGUGAUCAGCCACACUGGAACUGAGACACGGUCCAGACUACUACGGGAGGCAGCAGUAGGGAAUCUUCCGCAAUGGGCGAAAGCCUGACGGAGCAACGCCGCGUGAGUGAUGAAGGUCUUCGGAUCGUAAAACUCUGUUAUUAGGGAAGAACAAAUGUGUAAGUAACUAUGCACGUCUUGACGGUACCUAAUCAGAAAGCCACGGCUAACUACGUG
rnacentral:rRNA from 1 species